AUUGAACGCUGGCGGCAUGCUUUACACAUGCAAGUCGAACGGCAGCACGGGGGCAACCCUGGUGGCGAGUGGCGAACGGGUGAGUAAUAUAUCGGAACAUGUCCGGAAGUGGGGGAUAACGUAGCGAAAGUUACGCUAAUACCGCAUAUGCCCUGAGGGGGAAAGGAGGGGAUCGCAAGACCUUUCGCUUUCGGAGUGGCCGAUAUCGGAUUAGCUAGUUGGUGGGGUAAAGGCCUACCAAGGCGACGAUCCGUAGCUGGUCUGAGAGGACGACCAGCCACACUGGGACUGAGACACGGCCCAGACUCCUACGGGAGGCAGCAGUGGGGAAUUUUGGACAAUGGGCGCAAGCCUGAUCCAGCCAUGCCGCGUGAGUGAAGAAGGCCUUCGGGUUGUAAAGCUCUUUCGGACGGAAAGAAAUCCUAUCCGCUAAUACCGGGUGGGGAUGACGGUACCGUAAGAAGAAGCACCGGCUAACUACGUGCCAGCCGCCGCCGUAA
rnacentral:rRNA from 1 species